UACGUAGGUGGCAAGCGUUGUCCGGAAUUAUUGGGCGUAAAGGGCACGCAGGCGGUUCUCUAAGUCUGAUGUGAAAUCUCGCGGCUCAACCGCGAGCGGUCAUUGGAAACUGGAGAACUGGAGUGCAGGAGAGGAGAGCGGAAUUCCACGUGUAGCGGUGAAAUGCGUAGAGAUGUGGAGGAACACCAGUGGCGAAGGCGGCUCUCUGGCCUGAAACUGACGCUGAGGUGCGAAAGCGUGGGGAGCGAACAGG
rnacentral:rRNA from 1 species